rnacentral:rRNA from 1 species
UACGUAGGGGGCAAGCGUUGUCCGGAAUCAUUGGGCGUAAAGAGCUCGUAGGCGGCUUGUCGCGUCGAAUGUGAAAACCCACGGCUCAACUGUGGGCUUGCAUUCGAUACGGGCAGGCUAGAGUGCUGUAGGGGAGACUGGAAUUCCUGGUGUAGCGGUGAAAUGCGCAGAUAUCAGGAGGAACACCGGUGGCGAAGGCGGGUCUCUGGGCAGUAACUGACGCUGAGGAGCGAAAGCGUGGGGAGCGAACAGG